rnacentral:rRNA from 1 species
UACGUAGGGGGCUAGCGUUGUCCGGAAUCAUUGGGCGUAAAGCGCGUGUAGGCGGUCCGGUAAGUCCGCUGUGAAAAGUCGGGGGGCUCAACCCUCGGAUGCCGGUGGAUACUGUCGGGCUUGAGUACGGAAGAGGCGAGUGGAAUUCCUGGUGUAGCGGUGGAAUGCGCAGAUAUCAGGAGGAACACCAAUAGCGAAGGCAGCUCGCUGGGACGUUACUGACACUAAGGCGCGAAAGCGUGGGGAGCGAACGAGGA